rnacentral:lncRNA from 1 species
GUAAAUGUCAGCUGGAAUGUUUUGUGCAGCAGGAAUUUAAAUGGAUGAAUCUUCCUUUGAGGUUUUUUCACAUUUUUUGUCCCGUUGCAGCCAGCUGUCUCCAGAAGUGCCUGAAUGGAGGAGAAUGCGUGGGUUCAAACACCUGCCACUGUUCCCCCGGGUGGCGCGGCACGCUCUGUCAGAUCCCUCACUGUCAACAACAAUGUCUGUACGGGAGCCGCUGCGUCCGGCCCAACGUCUGCGCCUGCAGAAGGGGGUACUCGGGGUCCCAGUGCUCCAAGAAGCUGCCGAUCCUGAGAGGCUGAUCGUCCAACGUUCAACCGACAUCCUGCCAACGCAAAGCUGGUCUUCAUCCAACGCACAGCUACUGCUCGGCCAUCGUCAGGAUAAUGUUCAUCCGACUUUCAGCUAAAGUUCAUCCAACACCCAACGAAAGUUCAUCCAACGUUUAGCUAAAGUUCAUCCAACAUUUAGCUAAAGUUCAUCCAAUGACCAGCUAAUGUUCAUCCAACGUUUAGCUAAAGUUCAUCCAACGUUUAGCUAAAGUUCAUCCAACGUUUAGCUAAAGUUCAUCCAACGUUUAGCUAAAGUUCAUCCAACAUUUAGCUAAAGUUCAUCCAACGUUUAGCUAAAGUUCAUCCAAUGACCAGCUAAUGUUCAUCCAACGUUUAGCUAAAUCCAACGUUUUAGACUAGCAAAGUUCAGACACCCAACGAAAAUCCAACAGCUAAAGUUCAUCCAACAU